rnacentral:rRNA from 1 species
GAUGAACGCUGGCGGCGUGCUUAACACAUGCAAGUCGAACGGUGAAAGAGGAGCUUGCUCCUCUGGAUCAGUGGCGAACGGGUGAGUAACACGUGAGUAACCUGCCCUUGACUCUGGGAUAAGCACUGGAAACGGUGCCUAAUACCGGAUACGACCUCCGAAGGCAUCUUCUGGAAGUGGAAAGAAUUUCGGUCAAGGAUGGACUCGCGGCCUAUCAGCUAGUUGGGAGGUAACGGCCCACCAAGGCGACGACGGGUAGCCGGCCUGAGAGGGUGACCGGCCACACUGGGACUGAGACACGGCCCAGACUCCUACGGGAGGCAGCAGUGGGGAAUAUUGCACAAUGGGCGCAAGCCUGAUGCAGCAACGCCGCGUGAGGGACGACGGCCU